UUCACACUUUUGUAACAAACAAUAGUUUUGCUUCUUUUUUUUUCCUUUUCUUGCUUUUUUUUUUCCUUUUCUUCUUCUUCCAAUUCUUUUUUCUCUCUUCUGGAUUUUGGAGUGAAGAAGAAUGCUUCGACGAUUGUUAAGUAAUCUUAAAGGGUUUCUGAUUUGGGCAUGAAACUAGUACAAUCGCAUGAGUUUCUUCUCUGCCAUGGUGAUUUGGUUUUUGAGGAUUGAAAUCGAAUGUGUUCAAUUGAUCAGUUCACAACAAGGUUCUGUUUCUGUCUAACCCUUGAAGCGUGUCUCCGCUUCGUCGAGAUUCUAUUUUGGGGACAUUGUCCCAAGGAAAAUUGUAAGCUGUGGGCUUGGUAGUGCAUGCAUAUUGGGAAUGGGGUUGCGAUUUGUUGGAUGAUCCUACGGAUUUAUAAGUCUAAAGAGAAAAAGACAGAAAAGAACCAAAAGACAUUGAAAGGGAACUGUUGGCUUGGUAGUGCAUGCUUGUUGGGAAAAAUUAUAAGACAAAAGAGUCGCAUGACUUUGAAUGGGAAUGCGCUCUAAGACAAAAGAGAUACAAGAACCAAAGAGUUCUCAUAGCUUGGUACCCUUGGCUUGCAAAAUCAUAAUGGUAAUGAGCCUUAAGACAAAUGACAAAA